GACGUAGGGCGCGAGCGUUGUCCGGAUUUAUUGGGCGUAAAGAGCUCGUAGGCGGCUUGGCAAGUCGGGUGUGAAACCUCCAGGCUCAACCUGGAGACGCCACUCGAUACUGCUAUGGCUAGAGUCCGGUAGGGGACCACGGAAUUCCUGGUGUAGCGGUGAAAUGCGCAGAUAUCAGGAGGAACACCGGUGGCGAAGGCGGUGGUCUGGGCCGGCACUGACGCCGAGGAGCGAAAGCGUGGGUAGCAAACAGG
rnacentral:rRNA from 1 species